UUUUGGCUGCUAUAACAGAAUAUCACACACUGGUAAUUAAUAAAGAAUAGAAUUUUAUUUGACUCAUGAUUCUGGAGGCUGGGAAGCCAAAACAACAUUAUACUGGUAUAUGUUGAAGGUCUAGUUGCUGGAUAAUAACAUACACAAAGAUGUGAGGGAGAGAGAGCUUUUUUUUUUUAAUAUAUAACAGAUCCAUUCUUGUUAUAAUUAGCCCAUUCCCAUAAUAAGAACGUUAAUCCAUUCAUGAGGGCAGAGUGCUUAUAGCUUAAUUAAUUUUUAAAGGUUCCACCUGUUAAUUCUAACAUGUUGGCUAUUAAAUUUUAUCCUAAAUUUUGGAGAUGACAUUCAGUGUACAGCAGUAUCUGUUUAGUAGAUACUUUAAUCUUUUUAUUUGUAAGGUAGUGAUAGGUAAGCAGUUACUAUUGUACAUUUGUAGUUUUCUGUCCAUUUUAAGUUUGCUUCUUUUUUUUCUGGUUCUGUCUUUCCUGUGGUAUUGUUCAUUUUUGUUGAGACAAAGUUAUGCUUUCUUGCUCAGACUGAAGUGCAGUGGCAUAUCACAGCUCACUGUAGCCUUAACCUCCUGGGCUCAAAUAAUCGUCCCACCUUAGCCACCCAAGUAGCUUGGACUGCAGACAUGUACCACAACACCCAAGGAGAUUUGAUUCUUCCACCUUGGCCUCCCAAAGUGUUGGAAUUAUAAGCAGGAGACACCAUAUCCAAUGUGUAAUUUUUGUUGUUUGUGUAUGCUUUAAUUACUUUCUCUUUUUCUUUACUAUUUUUUUUUCCUACUGGUUAUCAUGAGACUUAUGUAAAACAUCUUGUAUUUUAAUAGUCUAGUUUAAGAUGAUAACAAUUUAUAGUAUUCUGAAAUUCAGUAUGUAUUUACCAUUUUAGUGACAUUUAUACUUUAGUAUUUUUCAUAUUGUUAGUUAGCAUUUCAUCAUAUCAAUGUGAAGAUUUCUUCCAGACCAUGGCUGGAGAAGGAAAGAAGGUGUGUUUUGCCUGAUUCAGGGACUAUAGAGAGAACCAAGUUCUGCAGGCCUGUCAUCUAAGUCUCAGGGCGGGGAGACCUUCCUUCCCCACGGGUUUGAGGCUAUGGCUAAGUGGUGAGCCUUGGUGAGACGCAGAAAGGAUCCAUCCCAGGCACUUGGCUAGAGGCUGAAUGCUAUCCCAGUGAUUGUACGUGCCCUGUUUGCUGAAUCUACUCAUCCUUAAGGGUACAUUUGCUUCCAGGUAACAUGUUUGUGACUAAUACUACAAUGUGCAUAUAUCUAUUCCAUGUUCUGCUUUGUCUGUUUGGGAUAUUUUUCAUACACUGAUUCAGUACCAUGUGUAUUCCCUUGCUUUUGUUGUCUCAUCCGUUGAUGUUACGUCCCCCAAAUUAUUGCCACGACCAGUUGUCAUGAAGCUUCACCCUUCUGUAUUGUGCUAGGAAUUUUACAGCUAUAGGUUUUACAUUAUAGUCUUCAUUCAUUUUUUAAAAUUGACACAUGUAAUUGUGCAUAUUUUGGGGAAACAAUUAUAUAUAUAUGUUGUAUAACAAUAAAAAUCAGAGUACUUCUAUACUUGUUGCCUCAUGCAUUUGUUAUUUUUGUGGUGAGAAUAUUCAAAAGCUUCUUCUCUAGCUAUUUUAUUUUAUCUUUAAGUAUUAAAUUUUUUUAGAGACAGGAUCUUGCUCUAACACCCAGACUGGUGUGCAGUGGUGCAAUCUUAGCUCACUGUAACUUCAAACAGUCUUCUAACCUUAGUUUCCCAAUUAGCUGAGACUACAGGAAGCUGCCACCAUGCCUGGCUAAUGUUUUAAUUUUUCAUAGAGACAGGGUCACACUAUGUUGUCCAGGCUCAUCUUGAACUUCUGACGUCAAGUGAUUCUCCUACCUCAGUCUCCCAAAAUGUAUGGAUUGCAAGAAUGUGCCACCGAAACUGGUCUCUUUUAGCUAUUUUGUAAUAUGAGAUAACUUUUCAUUAAUUAUUAUUAUUCUACUGUGUAAUAAAAAACAAAAACUUAUUUCCCCUAUCUAAUCAUAACACAAUACCUGUGAAGCAACCUUUUCCCAUCCUCCUGCUUCAGUCUCUGGUAACCCCUGUUGUACUCUUUGCUUCUAUCAACCCUUUUUUUCAGGUUCCUCAAAUGAGUGAGAUAAUAAGAUCAUAAAGUAUUUGUGUUUCUCUAUGUGGCUUAUUUUACUUAACAUGGUAUGCUCAAGGUUCAUCCAUGCUCUUUUAACUGACAGAAUUUUAUGCUUUCUUAUGGCUGAAUAGUAUUUCGCUGUGUAUAUAUAGUACAUUUUCCUUAUCCAUUUAUCUGUUGCUGUACAUUUGAAUUGAUUCCAUAUAUAAGCUAUUAUAAAUAGUUCUGUAAUGAACAUGGGAAUGCAAAUAUCUUUUUGACACAGUAAUAUCCUUUCUUUUGGAUAUACACCCAGAAGUAAAAUUGCUGGAUCAUAUAAUAGAUAUAUUUUUAAUUUCUUUCAGAAACCUCCAUACUAUUUUCUAUAAUGGCCAUACUAAUUUACAAUUCCACCAACAAGGUAUACAUCCACUCUUUUUUAUAUCCUCAUUAGUUCUUGAUUUAUUUAUUUAUUUUUAUUAUAGCCACUCUAAUGGGAAUGAGGCGGUACUUCAUUAUGGUUUGGAUUUGCAUUUCCUUGGUGAUUAGUAAUGUAGAGCAUCUUUUUAUGUUCCAGUUAGCAUUUUUGUAUCUCUUUUUGACAAACAUCUAUUAAGAUCUUUUGCAUUUUUAAAGUUAGAUUAUAAGUGUAUUUUAUUUUGAGAUUUUAAAGUUUCUUAUAUAUUCUGAAUAUUAGCCUUUUGUCACAUGUAUAUGAAAACAUUUUCUGUCAUUGCCUAAGCUGUCUCUUCAAACUUCUAGUUGUUUUUUUAAUAUGGAAAAGCAUUUUAGUUUGACAUAAUGUUGUUUGCUUAUUCUCGAUUUUGUUGCCCAUGUUUUGAAAUCUUAUUUUAAUAAUCCUUUCCCCAUCCAAUGUUAUAAAGCAUUUUUUUAUGUUUUUCUCUAAUAGUUUCAUAAUUGAUGGCAUUACAUUUAAGUCUUUAGUUUUAGUUGAUUAUCAUAUAUGGCAAGGUACAAGGGUCUAGUAUUAUUUUUCUGCAUAUAAAUAUUUAAGUGGCCCUGCACCAUUUAUUAAAGAGAUUAGCUUUUCUCUAAAGUGUGUUCUUGGCAAUUUUGUUGACAAUCAGUUGGCUUUAGGUGCAUAAAUUAACUUCUGGGCUUAUUCGGCACAUUAGUCUAUGAGUUUGUUUUUAUGCCAGUACAGUGCUGUUUUGGUUACUGUAGCUUUAUAGCAAGUUUUGAAGUUUGAUGAAGUGAUGCCUUUAGCUUUGCUUAUUUUGCUCAAAGUUGCUUUGUCUAUUCAGAGUUUUUUGUGGAUCCAUAUAAAUUUAAAUUUUUUUUAUUUCUGUGAAAAAAUGUCAUUGGUACUUUGAUAAAAAUCACAUUAAGUCUGUAGAUCACUUUGGGUAGAUAGAUCAAGAGUAUUCUUCCAGUGUAUAAACACAAUAUUUUUUCAUUUAUUCAUUUGUAUUUUAUAUUUUUUAUCCAUGUUUUGUCGUUUUCAGAGU
rnacentral:lncRNA from 1 species